rnacentral:rRNA from 1 species
CACGGCUCCAACAACGUGUCGCGAUGGAUGACUUGGCUUCCUAUUUCGUUGAAGAACGCAGCAAAGUGCGAUAAGUGGUAUCAAUUGCAGAAUCAUUCAAUUACCGAAUCUUUGAACGCAAAAGGCGCAUGGGAGAAGCUCUUUACGAGUCAUCCCCGUGCAUGCCGCAUCUCAGUGUCGAACAAACAACCUCUCCCCGUCUCAUGAGUUUUCACGGCUCGUGGGUCUUUUGGUGGAGAGCGAACGAGAGCCCAUUGACGUUGGAUGAACAAUAACCAAACCGAUCCGCGUUGGCGCUACAUUUUGAGCAUGGCUUCCUUCCAAAGGAGCACGAACGCCCGGGGUUUUGAGUUUAGGGGGAGAGAGCAAUCUUUUCUCCUCUCCUCUUGCCUUGCGUGUUUCUUCUUUGGAAUAGCUGCGCAUCAAAAAAACACCAAAAACAAAAAAACAACGUUUCUUUGUGGCAGGUGCUUUUUUCAUAUUGUAAUUCGUUCACAGACCUGAGUGCGGCAGGACUACCCGCCGAACUUAAGCAUAUUACUCAGCGGAGGAAAAGAAAACAACCGUGAUUCCCUCAGUCAGCGGCGAGCGAAGAGGGACCGAACUCGUUGCCGAAUCGGGUCUUAAAGGCCUUGAGUUGUGGCAAAAACGCUGCUCUGUGAUUGGUGCGGGAAUGGCGAAAUUCAAGCGCAAAGCAAACCCAUUGCUGAAUACAACCCUUCAUGUGAGUAUUGAGCCAAAGAAGGUGUUAGCCCAUUGAGCCAUAAACCCGAGCAUCUCAUUGAGUAGUUCUAAGAGAGUAGCACUGUUUGGGAAUGCAGUGUCAAGCGGCAGGUAUGUGUCUGCCAAAGUUAAAUACAGAGUAGGAAGACCGAUAUCGAACAAGUAGCGUGAGCGAAAGUUUGAAAAGCACUUUGGAAAGAGAGUGACAUAGAACCUGAAGUCGUAACAAUGACAAGGAAAGUACCUCCAUUUUAACGUCAAAACCAGCC